AAAGGAACAGGUAAAGGAUGAAUCAGUAUGUAAGGAGGAGCCCCCGGGCUCCGACACAGGACCCUGUAGCCCCGGGCUAUACUCCGCACAGGCAGAGCUUGCGCCCGAGCUGUAUAUAGAGACCCAGCAUAGAGUUGCAAACCAAACAGGAUUCACCAAAAGAGAUCCACUGCAGAAGUGCGAAGUUCAACACAAGUCCAUCUCUGACCAGAACCAAUCACCAGAGAGUCAGGCACAGAACGCUGCUGAUCAACGAAUGGCUGUAGCGGGCACUCCGCAAGACAUCGACGAAGUCUUCGAAUGCGAGACAUGUGGCAAAACAUUCAAUCAAAUAUUCUACUUUACCUCACAUAUGCAACUACACGAGUACAACUUGAAAAUCGUUGAAACAGAAACGAAAACAUACUCCUGCGAAACGUGCGGAAAACAAUUUACGACUAAUAAGCUUUUAUUCGAGCACGAGUUGACACACGUACCCCUUGAGUACCCUUGCGAAAUUUGCGAUAAAACGUUUAGUUUUAUGUAUCAACUGACGAAUCAUACAAGAGUUCACAUGGGUGAGAAACCAUACAAGUGCACUAUGUGCUCAAAACAAUUCGCGUUGCGUGGCGCUUUUGCUAAACACGAACGAAGGCACACUG